UACAGAGGUCCCGAGCGUUGUUCGGAUUUACUGGGCGUAAAGGGUGCGUAGGUGGCCGGGAAAGUCUGAUGUGAAAUCUCCGAGCUUAACUUGGAAAUGGCAUUGGAAACUAUCUGGCUUGAGGGCCGGAGGGGAGACUGGAAUUCUCGGUGUAGCAGUGAAAUGCGUAGAUAUCAGGAAGAACACCGGUGGCGAAGGCGGCAUCCUGGACCGGCAUUGACGCUGAGGAGCGAAAGCCAGGGGAGCAAACGGG
rnacentral:rRNA from 1 species